GAUGAACGCUGGCGGCAUGCCUAAUACAUGCAAGUCGAACGAGAGGAAGGAAAGCUUGCUUUUCUGAAUCUAGUGGCGAACGGGUGAGUAACACGUAAGUAACCUGCCCAUGUGCCCGGGAUAACUUCUGGAAACGGAUGCUAAAACCGGAUAGGUAGCAGACAAGCAUUUGACUGCUAUUAAAGUGGCUAAGGCAAUGAACAUGGAUGGACCUGCGGUGCAUUAGCUAGUUGGUGAGGUAACGGCCCACCAAGGCGACGAUGCAUAGCCGGCCUGAGAGGGCGGACGGCCACAUUGGGACUGAGACACGGCCCAAACUCCUACGGGAGGCAGCAGUAGGGAAUUUUCGUCAAUGGGGGGAACCCUGAACGAGCAAUGCCGCGUGAGUGAGGAAGGUCUUCGGAUCGUAAAGCUCUGUUGUAAGAGAAAAACGACAUUCAUAGGGAAUGAUGAGUGAGUGAUGGUAUCUUACCAGAAAGUCACGGCUAACUACGUGCCAGCCGCCGCCGUAAUAC
rnacentral:rRNA from 1 species